CAGAUGGAGAGAGCAGCCACGGGGAGCAGCCAGAAGCUGGAAGAGAGAGGAGAAGACAAUGCUAUGUGAUGGGAAAACCGAGGAACCCUAAAGACAGCCGACAGCCAGACGGCACCGACCCCGGGACAAAGCAGUCCUUCUAGCCUCCAAAACUAGCCCCUUACCCUCUGCCUGGAUGGAGUCAGCCCUGGAACAGCACUCGUGACCCAAGUGGCUGUCAGCAGGAACAGGGAGAGAGGGAAUUCGGGCUUGUCACCCAAAAUUCCUUGUUGCAUGGGCUGGACAGUGUCACCAGCAACAGCAACAGCUAUUUUGAGAAUAAUCCUCAUUGGAAGGUGAAGAUAAGAAAACCCUGUUGUAUCCUUAUCCAAAGUGCAAGAGAAGGCCCAGUGGAGUCCCGUCCAUGGAGGGUGAAGACAUGACGCCCACAGAUGUUGACUUCUCUUCAGGAGCCAGUGGCUGCUCCGGUCCUGGGCACGACCUAACUGACUCUUGGAGAAACAGCCUUCUGGAGUCCUUGGUGUGCCAUUUGGAAAAGCCUGUGGCAACGAUGGAUUUGUGCCCUGCGGUGUCUAUAAGGCAAACCCACUUGGGGCCUGGGGGUGGUGGAGGUGGCCAGGCGGAACCUGGUCCUCUCCAGACACCGCUGUUCACUGGUGGCGAAGGUCAGAGGGCUGCCGGGCACCAAGACAAAGAGCCCGAGUGUGCUGAGGAGGGGGGCAGCUCAGGGUGUGAUCGCAGCACAGCAGCUCGUCUGGGGUCUCUGCCAUGACGCAAUACUGACCUGGUACCUGUCUAGGGACACCUGUCUCCCCUGCCAUGGCCUGCUCCCCUCCAGCUUGAAGAUAAAUCUGGCAUCCUUCAAAAGUUUCCUACAAAUUUAUACCAUCAUGAUUACUUCUGCCUUCCAAAGCAGGCCGGGGUGGUGGGGGGAACCGACAUUAAAAGCAUGUGUCCCAACUUUCUUAAGCUGUCGGCUGUGGUUGUCUUGCUUUUGAAGGACCAGGUUGCCUCCCCCUAGUAGGCCCCAUUUUUCUAAAACAGGGAAGAAAUCAGCUAAACAACAUAACCAAAUCCCGACAUAGUUAAAAAGUCAACUAUAUAUAUAUAUCUUUGUAUAUGACGAUUUAUAUACAAAUAUAUAUACAUAUACACGCAUCUAUAAAUUACAUUCCAAGUAGAGGUCCCUUCCCUCCUCUCCACCCUGGGCUGCCGCCUGCGACUGUCUUCUCCUGAGGGGACCGGCAGUGGCUCCCGGGAGAGGGGCGGCGGGCUGCUGCCACCCCCGCCCCCAGCCCUUCCCACAGACCCUUGCUGCAAGUUUUACAUCCUGCUUCCGUUGCCAUGGUUUCUGUAUCCUAGGAGAGAGCCAGCGUGGAGUCUGAGCCUCUGCCAGCCGUGGGAGGAAGGAAAGCAGCCCCGUGGCAGGUUUUCCUGUCUGUCCUAUGAGCUUUCUGCAUUUACUGGGUGAGAGAGAGGGCAGUUGUGCUGUGUUCGGCCUCCAAUUCCAUUUUAAUUUUUUUUCUUUUUAUGUCUUUCUUUAAAUAUACAGUUCAUCACCUUGGCUCAGUUCAUGUCACCAGAAAUUCUCCAGGGAUUUCAUAGUCUGGGAAGGAGAGUGGUAAGGGUUAGCUCGGCAGUCACGCGGCACCGGGAGCCUCCCCGUGGCUGUCCCGCCCGCCCCAGCCCUGCAGUGUGUCACUCUCCCGGAGGCACGAACAAAUGGCCUCACAACAUAGAAUUUGUCAUUGGAUCCAUGCCCAGGGGACAUAGGCAAAGAAGGAGGCGGGCAGAGUGCCAACAGAGAAAAGAACCCUCAGCAGCUCUGCCCACACCCCUCUGGGCUUGGGCCAAGCUGCUCGCCUCUGGCAAAUGCUGGGAACAGUCCGCGACCUGCGCGGAGGGCUGAGGGGGGCGCCUGCUGCUGGCAACUGUCAUCUUUUCUCUACCCCCUCUGUGCCCGGUGGCUCUGAGUUUGACUCUGAACUUAUGACCUUCUUUUCCCUUCCUCAGACCCCAGGCGAGAUGCCUGGGCAGGGCGGCCACCCGCAGCUUCCAGGUGCAGGAGGCCUCACAGGAGCCCCCAGGAUCCACCAGUGGGGGGCCCAGGCCUGCUGGGCCACAGGGCCUAUUGCCUCCCUUCCCUGCUCCUUAUCAAGUGGCUCUUUCAUCUCAUUCAUUUCCUCCUGCCUGCAAAGACAGGAGAAAAGGAAGGGCUCUUGGCCCACCUGUCCCCACAGGUUCUUCCUGGUGUCAGGCAGGGGAUGUGUGUGGCCCAGCCUGGGCCCAUUAAGAGUUGGUGGCCUAAAUACCAGGGCUAAGAUAAUAGUCUGUUGCACGUAGGCAUGGGCAGUGGUGACGUGGUGGCUGGAGCAGACAGGAGCCAUGUGGAGCUCUCAGCAACAACCUUGGGCUCCCCACUCUGCCUAGUUCCUGGGUAGAGCAUAGGGUGGGGUGGGAGGGUAGCACCAGAGGGCCGAAACCCACUUCAGUUUCCAGGUAGGCCACCGAGUUGCUCCUUCUUUGAGACUGGAGGUCAGGCCGGGCACAAAGAGCCUGUGCCAUAACCACUGGGCUCCCUCCCCCUCUCAUUCUCCUCUCCCUUUUCUGCCUCGUAACCAGGGCCAAAGCUGCAGGAAGUUCCAGGGCAGAGGAGGCCCUGGCUCAUACUUGGACCUUGGUGGUGUGGCUGGCCCAGGACUAUCCAUGCAGGGAGGCCUGCACCUCUGACAGUCGGUUACAGCUUGGGGUGCUCAUCCUCUGUGCUUUGUGGUACAUAUCUGUGUCGCCGAAGUAGCGGGCCCGGUACAGCAAGCCUUCCUCUGCAAAGCAAUGGGGCUGAGUUAGGGCAUACCUGGUACCUCCCGAAGGCUGCUCAGAAGCUUGCUCAGGCCAGGGGGAAAAGGCUGUUAUGGGGCCAGGAGUUUGGAUAGGGCUGGCCUUCCAUCAAGGAAGACUCUGGAGGAGUAAAGACUAUGCUUCCAACUUGGGAAAGGGAUGGAGGCCCCUUUCUAUAGAAUGUAGGUCAGGCCAGCCCGGUGAGCACCUGUCAUCCUGCUCGGACCAACCCCAGGAACACAGAUGGAUUCAAUUGUCCAAUCAGUGGGUGGUCAGAUCUGCUCCCAUUGGCCUCCACAUGCUCACCUCUGGCAGCCAAAGUGGCAGGUUGAUUGCAGUGACACGCGGGAAACCUAGGGAAAUCUCCAGGUGGACCCUGGCUCCCAGCCUCAGGGGAACACAACAGUGGAGACCAGCUCAUGGCUGGCACAGGGCAGUGCCAGGUGCCAGGCCCACAAAACACGGGGGAGCAGGGUUUUCUGCUUGCCCUGCUCUGAGGCCUUGCUCCACCCCACCCCCACUUACUCUGCUGUUUUUCCUUCCAGCAGUUGUUUCGGAGGUUGGCGAUAUAAUCAUCUUCCACAUUCCGUUCCACUGUCUUGAGGCUGGAGCCUGUGUACUCCUCCGAGAAAGAGUCUGCCACGUAGUAGACGACGCUCAGAUGGUCAGUGACUCGCCUGUGGACAUGGCCCACCGACCUGGCCAGAAAGAGACCAGGCACAAGUGGGCACAGGCCCCUGGGCCCAGGGCAGCUCUAGGGAUGGCAGGGUCCCAGGAUAGGAGAUGUCACACAGGCCACAAGAGUAGCUGAUUCCUUCCUGAACCAGAGCAGGAACUUUGCGUCAUCCAGAGUGAGGGUCUGAAGAAAAGUUAGGGUGUCCUUCACAUACAAGUGGCCCACACCACAGCCAGCCCGUUCUUUAGUUGCUCUAUUUACUACAUGGUUGACCCUGGGGAGCUUUAGGGAGAAGCUCCUCCCUGAGGAGAGGCCCUGAUUAGGGAGCAGGGGACAUCGGAGAGCGUGGGCUCUGCCUCUGGUGAGCUAUGUUACCUGAGAUCCAUCACCUCUUUCACCCUCUAAGCCAAUAGCUGCCUGCCUAUCUGGGAGCUCCCAUUCUAGAGUUAAGAAGCUUAGGAACAAAAUGACAAGAAAGGCUCCAGGAAGCUGUUCCCUUCUAGCUCUGGGAUCCUAUUUUCCAGCUCUGAUCACAGGCUCUAUAGGAGUCAGAGCUCCAGGGACAGUGCCUGCCCACCCCACGAAGACUGCCCCUCUUAUCCCUCCAGCUGCAGAGAAAAGGGCUGGAGCUGAGGGCUGGCCUGGGUCCAGGGGACCCGCAGUGCCCCUGCUGGCUAAGAGGGAUACUGCCAGGCUCCCACUAGAGCCAGGCUGCUUGGUGGGAGCAGAGGGCUUCCACAAAAAGAAACCAAGCACCCACCAUGGAUCAGAGACUCUCCCAGGUGCUGGCGACACAUGAGGUGAGCUGAUGCCCUAAAUGGUAAAACAACUUGCUCAAGUUCACUCCUGGUAAUCGAGACCAUGCAUUCAUUCAACAAAUGCUGGUGAACACUUCUAAUGAGCCAGGCGUUUUAUGUGCAUUACUCAUUUGAUUUUCACAAACAGGUGGGUGUUGAUAUUCCUAUUUUAUAGAUGAGGAAACCAAGGCUCAGAAAACUCGAGUAACUUGUCCAGGGCCACACGGUUGCUUAGUUGGUAGAGGGGCUGGGAUUCAAAGCCCACCCCAAUCCCGAAACUUUGGAGCUUGUGUUCUUUCCAUGGCUCCAGGGCCCCCAACAGGAACUUAAGGGCAGAAGUUCUUCACUCAGGCUCUGCCCAUAAAAACCCGGGGGUUGGGGGAGAGGUGUGGAUUACAAAGCCUCUGAAAUCAUUUGCAAAAUCUUGUGUUUGUGACUUGUUCUAAGAAACAAGGCUUGUAACUUUCAUUGCAUUUUACUUAGGGGACUGUGAUCCUGGAAAGAUGGAGAACCUCAGCUCAGCAGGGCAAGUGUAUUUCUUGAUUAUGAGCCAGCUUUCUGCAGCAUGAUCAAGAACCUGCUGGAUCAGGACAGGACGGAAGGCCCCUGCUGGGGGCCGACACUCCAAAGUGCCCUUCCUCCCUGCCCACCGCCCCAGGCUCCCCUCCCGGCUGCAGGUACUCACGGUCUCGGGCUCAGACUGUAGGGUGGACUGGAGACCAUGAGCUGGCUGAGAGCUGACACCAGGAUCAGGAUGAGGAUGGGCAUCAGCUGGACAAACACCCCCAGCCCGCCCUGGAGGGAGGAGCCGAGGGUCACCCAGCCGGACCUGCCACACUGGAGCCGGGUGGCAGGAGCCGGCUGCCCCGCACACAGGCCACAGCACCAUUCUUCCCUUCCCUCCCACAGGCCCCCAACACAGACACUCCUGCACCUUCCAGCUUUCCCAGAUAAAAACAAUGCUGCAAUUUGUGCUAAAUAAAGGAGGGAGGAGGGUUUAGAUACGCCUUUACUUGCAAAAAAAUACCAAAAAAUCAGCAUGAGUGGCUCCUGCCAGGGGAAUGAGAGGCUGCAGCGGCUGGAGGGAGACUUUCACUAUGUAUACCUUUUGGAGUUCUGAAUCAU